rnacentral:rRNA from 1 species
UCCAGACUCCUACGGGAGGCAGCAGUGGGGAAUAUUGCACAAUGGGGGGAACCCUGAUGCAGCGACGCCGCGUGGGUGAAGAAGUCAUUCGUGACGUAAAGCCCUAUCAGCAGGGAAGAAAAUGACGGUACCUGACUAAGAAGCCCCGGCUAACUACGUGCCAGCAGCCGCGGUAAUACGUAGGGGGCAAGCGUUAUCCGGAUUUACUGGGUGUAAAGGGAGCGUAGACGGUUAUGUAAGUCUGGAGUGAAAGCCCGGGGCCCAACCCCGGGACUGCUUUGGAAACUGUGUAACUGGAGUACAGGAGGGGCAGGCGGAAUUCCUGGUGUAGCGGUGAAAUGCGUAGAUAUCAGGAGGAACACCGGCGGCGAAGGCGGCCUGCUGGACUGAAACUGACGUUGAGGCUCGAAAGCGUGGGGAGCAAACAGGAUUAGAUACCCUCGUAC